UGGGGAAUAUUGCACAAUGGGCGCAAGCCUGAUGCAGCCAUGCCGCGUGUGUGAAGAAGGCCUUCGGGUUGUAAAGCACUUUCAGCGGGGAGGAAGGCGAUAAGGUUAAUAACCUUGUCGAUUGACGUUACCCGCAGAAGAAGCACCGGCUAACUCCGUGCCAGCAGCCGCGGUAAUACGGAGGGUGCAAGCGUUAAUCGGAAUUACUGGGCGUAAAGCGCACGCAGGCGGUCUGUCAAGUCGGAUGUGAAAUCCCCGGGCUUAACCUGGGAACUGCAUUCGAAACUGGCAGGCUAGAGUCUUGUAGAGGGGGGUAGAAUUCCAGGUGUAGCGGUGAAAUGCGUAGAGAUCUGGAGGAAUACCGGUGGCGAAGGCGGCCCCCUGGACAAAGACUGACGCUCAGGUGCGAAAGCGUGGGGAGCACACAGG
rnacentral:rRNA from 1 species